rnacentral:lncRNA from 1 species
CCACUUGCAGAAGUGAAUGGGGCAAAUGGAUCAAGACCACUUGUAUCAAUUCUCAUCAUCACUUAUAAAAAGGGUAGGAGAUCUAUCAGGUUGGGCAAAUGACCCCCUUAAAAAGUAUCUCAUCAGUAGUUUUCUCAACAAAACUAUACAGAUUAUCUCAAUGUUACUGAUUGAAAUCGUUGAUUUAAAUUGAUUCAAAAAUUGAUUUAAAUUGAUUCCUGAAACAAGAGGAGACUGCAAUUGGUACCUGAAACAAUCAAGAAGGAACAACUACGAAACCCUAGAAUAGUAGUGUCCGAUGUUGCUGCUGCU